UAACUCUAAGCGGGGGAUCACC
rnacentral:rRNA from 1 species